CCUACGGGUGGCAGCAGUGGGGAAUAUUGCACAAUGGGCGAAAGCCUGAUGCAGCAACGCCGCGUGAAGGAAGAAGGCCUUCGGGUCGUAAACUUCUGUCCUUGGGGAAGAAGAACUGACGGUACCCAAGGAGGAAGCCCCGGCUAACUACGGGCCAGCAGCCGGGGUAAUACGUAGGGGGCAGGCGUUAUCCGGAAUAAUUGGGGUUCAAGGGUCGGCAGGCGGGGGUGCAAGUCAGCGGUAAAAUUGCGGGGCUAACCCCCGUACUGCCGUUGAAACUGCAUCGCUUGAGUGCGCGAGAGGUAUGCAGAAUGCGAGGUGUAGCGGUGAAAUGCGUAGAGAUCACGCAGAACUCCGAUGGCGAAGGCAGCAUACCGGCGCGAAACUGACGCUCAUGCACGAAAGCGUGGGUAUCGAACAGGAUUAGAUACCCCAGUAGUC
rnacentral:rRNA from 1 species